rnacentral:rRNA from 1 species
GCGCAGCAGUCGCGAAUCUUCCACAAUGGACGAAAGUCUGAUGGAGCGACGCCGCGUGCGGGAUGAAGGCCUUAUGGGUUGUAAACCGCUGUCAGGGGGAAGAACAUCGGAAUGAACAAUACUCAUUCCGACUGACGUUACCCCCAGAGGAAGCUCCGGGCCAACUCCGUGCCAGCAGCCGCGGUAAUACGGGGGGAGCAAGC